CAGAGGAAACUGGCCCUUUCACAUGACCAAGAUUUUGAUUUUUAGAAUACUAUUCAAGGGAAAAGAAUAUCUCCUUCUGGAAAUAAGAGGGGCCAGGGCAGUCCAUGUUGCCCCAAUUCUUGGAGGCUCCAAUGUACUCUCCACUUUCCUAAGAAAGAUAAAGACAACCUAAACUCGACUGACAAAGCCUCAACGUGCAGGGACUGUUUGUGUGCCUGAAAAGUCUGUGUCCAGACAAUUCCUGUGAUUGACAAACUGGUUGAGGAGUCAUCUCUGGAAGCAUAAAGUUUCUCUGUCCAGCAGAGCUGUGAUGUCCAACUCAUUCCCCAUCUUCUAAAGAUAGAACAGGUAAUUUUUAAAAGACUCCAGAGAACAGGUCUGAUGUGGAAUAGACCAGAGUCAGAUCCUGGAUGUGAGGCUAUUGUGUGAGCCCAGCAAGGGCACUCUUCCUCUCUCUCUAGCAGAAUAAAGUUGCAGAAAUGGA